AUUGAACGCUGGCGGCAUGCCUUACACAUGCAAGUCGAACGGUAACAGGUCUUCGGAUGCUGACGAGUGGCGAACGGGUGAGCAAUACAUCGGAACGUGCCUAGUAGUGGGGGAUAACUACUCGAAAGAGUGGCUAAUACCGCAUGAGAUCUACGGAUGAAAGCAGGGGAUCGCAAGACCUUGUGCUACUAGAGCGGCCGAUGGCAGAUUAGGUAGUUGGUGGGAUAAAAGCUUACCAAGCCGACGAUCUGUAGCUGGUCUGAGAGGACGAUCAGCCACACUGGGACUGAGACACGGCCCAGACUCCUACGGGAGGCAGCAGUGGGGAAUUUUGGACAAUGGGCGCAAGCCUGAUCCAGCAAUGCCGCGUGCAGGAUGAAGGCCUUCGGGUUGUAAACUGCUUUUGUACGGAACGAAAAGCCCUGGAUUAAUACCCUGGGGUCAUGACGGUACCGUAAGAAUAAGCACCGGCUAACUACGUGCCAGCCGCCGCCGUAAAAC
rnacentral:rRNA from 1 species